UAGGAAACACGGUCUGUUUCUUCUCCAGAGAAGUCACUUUUUAAACGUCGUAAAUAAUGUAGUACCAUAGAUAAUGAUACGGAAAUGUAUUUGAUAGAAUACUUAUGAAGCGAAACUUGUGUAAAAUAUAUAUGUUCAAGGGUAGCUGGAGGAAGCUAACGUUAACCUGCUACAAAUAAUGGCCAAUCGUUUGCUAAAUGCAUUAGAAGCUACGGCUAGCUUAGCCAGCUAACGUUAAGUCACCUUGGGACAGAACUUAAUAAGGCACUCGGGCAGCCAGGAGGGUGGUCUACAAUAUUUUUCCCAAGGAUAAUCCGAACAAGCAGACAGAGAAAUGGUGUACUCACGUUGGGGAGCGAGAGACCGCCUGCUGAGCUGCUUGCCCUGCAGCUCAGGGAAAUCCUGCAGCACGGUGU